UAGCUAGUUGGUGAGGUAAAGGCUUACCAAGGCGACGAUCUGUAGCGGGUCUGAGAGGAUGAUCCGCCACACUGGAACUGAGACACGGUCCAGACUCCUACGGGAGGCAGCAGUGGGGAAUUUUGGACAAUGGGGGCAACCCUGAUCCAGCCAUGCCGCGUGAGUGAAGAAGGCCUUCGGGUUGUAAAGCUCUUUCGGCCGGGAAGAAAUCGCAUGGGCCAAUACCCUGUGUGGAUGACGGUACCGGAAUAAGAAGCACCGGCUAACUACGUGCCAGCAGCCGCGGUAAUACGUAGGGUGCGAGCGUUAAUCGGAAUUACUGGGCGUAAAGCGUGCGCAGGCGGUUUUGUAAGACAGGCGUGAAAUCCCCGGGCUUAACCUGGGAACUGCGUUUGUGACUGCAAGGCUAGAGUACGGCAGAGGGGGGUGGAAUUCCACGUGUAGCAGUGAAAUGCGUAGAGAUGUGGAGGAACACCAAUGGCGAAGGCAGCCCCCUGGGUCGAUACUGACGCUCAUGCACGAAAGCGUGGGUAGCAAACAGGAUUAGAUACCCUGGUAGUCCACGCCCUAAACUAUGUCAACUAGGUGUUGGGUGGGUAAAACCAUUUAGUACCGUAGCUAACGCGUGAAGUUGACCGCCUGGGGAGUACGGCCGCAAGGUUAAAACUCAAAGGAAUUGACGGGGACCCGCACAAGCGGUGGAUGAUGUGGAUUAAUUCGAUGCAACGCGAAAAACCUUACCUACCCUUGACAUGCCAGGAACUUGCCAGAGAUGGCUUGGUGCCCGAAAGGGAGCCUGGACACAGGUGCUGCAUGGCUGUCGUCAGCUCGUGUCGUGAGAUGUUGGGUUAAGUCCCGCAACGAGCGCAACCCUUGUCGUUAAUUGCCAUCAUUUAGUUGGGCACUUUAACGAGACUGCCGGUGACAAACCGGAGGAAGGUGGGGAUGACGUCAAGUCCUCAUGGCCCUUAUGGGUAGGGCUUCACACGUCAUACAAUGGUCGGUACAAAGGGUUGCCAAGCCGCGAGGCGGAGCCAAUCCCAGAAAGCCGAUCGUAGUCCGGAUUGCAGGCUGCAGCUCGCCUGCAUGAAGUCGGAAUCGCUAGUAAUCGUGGAUCAGCAUGUCACGGUGAAUACGUUCCCGGGUCUUGUACACACCGCCCGUCACACCAUGGGAGCGGGUUCCGCCAGAAGUAGGUAGCCUAACCGCAAGGGGGGCGCUUACCACGGCGGGGUUCGUGACUGGGGUGAAGUCGUAACAAGGUAGCCGUAGGGGAACCUGCGGCUG
rnacentral:rRNA from 1 species